UGGAUCCAGACUUUGAUUCUGGCUCAGGACGAACGCUGGCGGCGCGCCUAACACAUGCAAGUCGAACGAGCGAGAGAGAGCUUGCUUUCUCGGGCGAGUGGCGAACGGGUGAGUAACGCGUGAGGAACCUGCCUCAAAGAGGGGGACAACAGUUGGAAACGACUGCUAAUACCGCAUAAGCCCACGGCUCGGCAUCGAGCAGAGGGAAAAGGAGCAAUCCGCUUUGAGAUGGCCUCGCGUCCGAUUAGCUAGUUGGUGAGGUAAUGGCCCACCAAGGCAACGAUCGGUAGCCGGACUGAGAGGUUGAACGGCCACAUUGGGACUGAGACACGGCCCAGACUCCUACGGGAGGCAGCAGUGGGGAAUAUUGCACAAUGGGGGAAACCCUGAUGCAGCGACGCCGCGUGGAGGAAGAAGGUCUUCGGAUUGUAAACUCCUGUUGUUGAGGAAGAUAAUGACGGUACUCAACAAGGAAGUGACGGCUAACUACGUGCCAGCAGCCGCGGUAAAACGUAGGUCACAAGCGUUGUCCGGAAUUACUGGGUGUAAAGGGAGCGCAGGCGGGCGAUCAAGUUGGAAGUGAAAUCCAUGGGCUCAACCCAUGAACUGCUUUCAAAACUGAUUGUCUUGAGUAGUGCAGAGGUAGGCGGAAUUCCCGGUGUAGCGGUGGAAUGCGUAGAUAUCGGGAGGAACACCAGUGGCGAAGGCGGCCUACUGGGCACCAACUGACGCUGAGGCUCGAAAGUGUGGGUAGCAAACAGGAUUAGAUACCCUGGUAGUCCACACCGUAAACGAUGAUUACUAGGUGUUGGAGGAUUGACCCCUUCAGUGCCGCAGUUAACACAAUAAGUAAUCCACCUGGGGAGUACGACCGCAAGGUUGCAACUCAAAGGAAUUGACGGA
rnacentral:rRNA from 1 species